ACAUUGUAGCUCUUUUCGAUCUCUUUUGCUUCUCAAUGUGCCAUGAAUUGUUUAUCCCUUUUCACACCCACACACCCCACAACUCCCCAACUCGACACACAAAACGCCAAAAAGACACAAAAAAUAAUCUAUCAAUCCAUAGUAAAUGAAAUCAUUGAGCCCAGAAGAAAAUGAAAAUAAGGAAAAAAAAAAAAAGAAUAGUUAAAGCCAUUUGUUCUUAGAAAGGGUACAAAGCAAAGCACGAAG
rnacentral:lncRNA from 1 species